GAUGAAAACGCAGCGAAACGCGAUAUGUAAUGUGAAUUGCAGAAUUCAGUGAAUCAUCGAAUCUUUGAACGCACAUGGCGCCUUCCAGUAUCCUGGGAGGCAUGCCUGUCCGAGCGUCGUUUCAACCCUCGAGCCCCCGUGGCCCGGCGUUGGGGAUCUGCCCAGGCAGUCCCCGAAAACCAGUGGCGGACCCGUUACAGGCCCUUCCCUUGCGUAGUAGCAUUCGCCUCGCAUCGGGAGCCGGCGGGCUUCCAGCCUCUAAACCCCCAUCAAGUCCGCCCCGGCGGCACCAAGGUUGACCUCGGAUCAGGUAGGAAUACCCGCUGAACUUAAGCAUAUCAAUAAGCGGAGGA
rnacentral:misc_RNA from 1 species